rnacentral:ncRNA from 1 species
CCAAAGGCUCUUUUAAGAGCCGCCAAAUUUUUUUAAAGUGCAAUUCU